rnacentral:lncRNA from 1 species
AGAGUCGUCAGUGUGUGAAUGAUGACUUUCUGUUGCUGACUUGGAAGACAGAGGAAUUGGGUCAUGAGCCAAGGAAGGUGGGCAGCUUCUAAAAGGCGGAAAAAAUUGAAUUGAAUUCAAAUCAAAAAAGGUCUGAACCUCAUUUAAAAGAUGGUUUUGUAACUGAAGAAUUGAAAGGAUUUCUUUAUGAACUAGCAUCAUCUUAAGACAAAGGAUAAGGACCCUGAAGACAGCAUUAUAGUGAAUCCCAGAGGUGCUCUCCAAAAUGGUGCUAAUACAGCCAAGAAUACAUGGCUGCAGUGAGAGGAAGUGAGGAUAUGGCUGACAUUCUCCAAGAAGCAGUGACUUCAGAAGAUGAUUGGCAUCUUGAACUUCAGGAAAAUCCUUGGCCUUUUUAACUCUGAAAGUCUGUUUGAAACUCAGAAGAAGAAAAUUAGGUGAAUACAAAACUGCUGCCAAACUUAGAAACUUGCUUAAAUAUCCUGCAGAAAAUAUCAUGGGCUUUUCAGAGUCCAGUUAAAUAUCUACAGAUUAUAUUUCCAGUUUAAUACCUGGGGCAUUAACUCUAUUCAUUUUACUAGCUUUAGUGAAUUUUACUUCUGGAGCAUAACAUUGCAUUGAAAAUGUGUCCUCUAACCUAUGAUAUUUAUGUAUCAUUUAA